ACAUCAAUGGAAUUGCAUUGGGAAAGACUGCGCACAGCCACGAGCGAGAACUGACUCUUGAACAAGAAUAUCGAUAUGGCUUUACGAAAAUUGAUUUUUCGCGUCUAUGCAUUGAACAGCACACCUCAUUCUGUAAAGGGUUUGAAUACUCAUAUGUCUGCCUUUAGUGUAUUGAGUCCUAACACCGAUUUGAGAGUAAAACAUGACCGACACAACCUCUGCUUUUCUAUCAACCUGGACGGCGAAGGACAUCAGGAUAGCGCGGUGCUGCGCUACAAAUUUACGAGCAAGAAGGAGGUAGAUCUACUGUCAACUUAUGUACCCGAGUCUUUCAGGGGCAAAGGUGUUGCAGCUCUUCUGUCAAAGGUACUAUCUACAAAUUUUGAGAUACGCUGCCAUGGAUUUUCUAGUGGAAGAAAACCUCAAGGCCCAUAUAUCUUGUUGUUAUAUUAAGAAAUAUGUUGAGGAAACCCCACUUCUUGGUUAUAAGGAUCUUAUUAUAGUCUGAAUAAGCUGCAUCCUUGAUGAAUAGUGGUUGGAAAGAAUGGUAAUUAUAAAAUUACAUAAUACUUUAAAAUAAUGUAUUCAGUAUUUACAGUACUAGUCAAAAGUUUGGACACACCAAUUCAUUCAAGGGUUUUUCUUUAUUUUUACUAUGUUCUACAUGGUAUAAUAAUAGUGAAGAGAAUCAAAACUAUGAAAUAACACAUAUGGAAUCAUAUAGUAACCAAAAAAGUGUUAAACAAAUCUAAAUAUAUUUUAGAUUUUAGAUUCUUCAAGGUAGCCUUGAUGACAGCUGAUAGAAACGGACAGAUGACAGAAACGGAAGUCCAGCAUUACUUGAAGACAUAAAGGUCAGUCAAUCCGGAAAAUGACAAGAACUUUGAAAGUUGUACAGUCGCAAAAACCAUCAAGCACUAUGAUGAAACUGUCUCUCAUGAGGAC